rnacentral:rRNA from 1 species
GACGAACGCUGGCGGCGUGCCUAAUACAUGCAAGUCGAACGCAGUGGGGACGGGUGAGUAACACGUGGGUAACCUCCCCUCAGAGGGGAUAACACUUGGAAACAGGUGCUAAACCGAUACUGAUGGAUGGACCCGCGGUGCAUUAGCUAGUUGGUGAGGUAACGGCUCACCAAGGCCACGCUGCAUAGCCGACGUGCGAGGGUGAACGGCCAAAAUGGGACUUAGACAUGGCCCAGACUCCUACGGGAGGCAGGAGUAGGGAAUCUGCGGCAAUGGACGGAAGUCUGACCGAGCAACGCCGAGGGAGUGAAGAAGGUUUUCGGAUCGUAAAGCUCUGUUGUGAGAGAAGCGGUAACUAACCAGAAAGGGACGGCUAACUACGUGCCAGCAGCCGCGGUAAUUC